rnacentral:rRNA from 1 species
UACGAAGGAUGCAAGCGUUAUCCGGAUUUAUUGGGUUUAAAGGGAGCGUAGGCGGUCUUAUAAGUCAGUGGUGAAAUCUUGUCGCUUAACGACAAACGUGCCAUUGAUACUGUAGGACUUGAGUACAGAUGCCGUUGGCGGAAUGUGUCAUGUAGCGGUGAAAUGCAUAGAUAUGACACAGAACACCGAUUGCGGAGGCAGCUGACGAAACUGUAACUGACGCUGAGGCUCGAAAGCGUGGGGAUCAAACAGG